UAGAUGAGACAAGUGAUUUCCCUGCCUCUGAAGAACAGUGUGAAAUAAGCUAUGGGCUACUCUGAGGGUCGGUGGGUUUUUCCUGCUUCCAUCUGGGACUCUGCAGUAGAUCACUUUGCAGGCUACCCCUCACCAUCAUGAGGACAACCAUUACCAAGCACACUUGCAGGAAGAAAAAGGUCAAGCAGCAGGGCCAGGCUCAGCUUCCCUGGGCCACUCUCAGGUGCCUGCAUGGUGAGAAUGGGAUCCCAUAAAUCCCGAAGCCCUCUGAGAAGAACACGAAGUGGCCUGAAUUGAGCACCUGUGGCCUGCCAUGAAGCCCACCAUAGUGCGAAGGAAGAGACCAGAUGGCAGACGUUUCUGGGGGAAGCAUCUAGGUCAGCAGCCAGGGGAAGAGAGUCCAAGGUUUCUGUAGGGUAAGAGCCAGGGUGGGGCCAAGUCAGGGUGAAGCCAGAAGGAGAAUCACCAGGUCCUGACUAGCACCACAAUCCCAGCUGCUGACCUUUAUCACAGAUGCCAGAACACCCAGUAAUAAAGCACUCACUUUGCUAAAACAAAAAUAAAAGAGGGAGGGAGGGAGAUGUAUGGAAGGCAUGUGAGGGUGGCUCACAAAACUAAAAGAAUUAAGCAUCCAAGCCUUGAGAGGCAGGAACCUGGGCAACAACAAGGGCAAGUGAUGGAGAGGAGUCCCCUGAACAAGAAUAUAGUAAAUUAUAAUACUAUCUCCCUUCCACCUGCAGAGAUUAAUGGAGAAUGAUACCUUGUCCAAGAAUUUGAGCAGCCAAA
rnacentral:lncRNA from 1 species